rnacentral:tRNA from 1 species
UGCGGGUGUGGCGGAAUUGGCAGACGCACUAGAUUUAGGAUCUAGCGCCGCAAGGCGUGGGGGUUCAAGUCCCUUCACCCGCAUAUU